rnacentral:rRNA from 1 species
CUGCGAAGGAUCAUUG